GCUUGCUUAAAGGGGCCGUAGCCGGAUGGGUAAAUCCCCUGUGAAAUCGUCGCGCUUAACGUGACGGCGUGCAGGGGCAACUGCUCGUCUCGAGACCGGGAAGGGUCAGAGGUAUGCCGUGGGGACUGGUAAAAUGGAAUAAUCCACGGUAGACCACCAAUGGCGAAGGCAUCUGACCGGAACGGAUCUGACGGUGAGGGACGAAAGCUGGGGGAGCGAACCGGAUUAGAUACCCGAGUAGUCCCAGCUGUAAACGCUGUGAGCUAGGUGUCGCCCCUCCCACGAGGAGGGGCGGUGUCGAAACGAAGGUGCUAAGCUCACCGCCUGGGAAGUACGGUCGCAAGACUGAAACUUUAAGGAAUUGGCGGGGGAGCACUACAAGGGGUGCGGCGUGCGGUUUAAUUUAACUCAACGCAGAGAACCUCACUAGGAGCGACGGCAGGAUGAAGGCCAGUCUGAAGGGCUUGCCCGACGAGCCGAGAGGUAGUGCAUGGCCGUCGUCAGCUCGUGCCGUAAGGUGUCCAGCUAAGUCUGGUAACGAGCGAGACCUGUGCCCACAGUUGCUAACGACACAUGUGGAUCGAGCACACUGUGGGGACUGCAUUCGUAAGAGUGAGGAAGGUGCAGGCAACGGUAGGUCCGCAUGCCCCGAAAAGCC
rnacentral:rRNA from 1 species